UGGGCAUCCUUUAGCAUCUGCGUGUCUCC
rnacentral:piRNA from 1 species